CCAAUAAAGUGCCUGUCUUGAACCAAGGAGUGCCUGGACCCCUUUUAUUUUAUUCAAUUGAUCUUGAUAAUCUGGUGUUUGAUUCUGGUACAAUAAGCACCCUGGCUCUGACUGAUGGGAGUGAGUGCAGUUCCAUACACUUUUUCAAAAGAUCUAAUUUUGAGUGAGUCACUUGAGUGAGUCAGAGAACCCCUGGGCAGAAGUUUUAUAAACCUGUACAUUGUAGAAACUAUAUUCCGUUAAAAUUCUCUCUCAUUUCUUUACAACAGAUUAUUUAUUUAUAUUGAUUCAUUAAAGUAUUAGUAAAACGCUAGGGCAAUUCUGCAGCAAAAUUCUAAAUGCUGAAAUACAAUUUGUGGGUUUUCAUAGUGAAAUAUUUUUUGUCUGUAAAUACAACCCAAAUCAUUAUGGUGGAAGGUUUAGUUUUGCCUAUGGUUUGUUUGCGGCAUACUGUAGUCAAAGGUUUUGACAGCCAAGGAGCUGUGCAUAAGUUUACAUGGAUGAAAACAGAGUUAGGUGUCCCCCAUUUUUGAGCUCUUGCCUAUCUCAUGAACAAUCUAUCUAUAUACACAGUGAAUGCUUAUGACAAGACGAUUGUGUGAGAUCAUAUACUGCACAUUUGCAUAGCAAGAAGACCUUGUUAAAGGGACUCUGUAGGCAGAGUGACUGCUCCAUCUCAAUCAAGUAGUUAUAAUGUUCUGAGUCCCCUUGUGCUAUCCUUCCAUUCAUUGUUAAACCAUUGUUAUUGAUUUAAUGCUAUACCAAAUACCUCCUGUGAUAUAUGGGUUAAUGAGGAAGCAUUAACCAAAGCAGCAAAGGGUAGCUGUAAUUGACUGAGAGUGUCAACUGACAAUUUUCAACCUAUCACAAUAUGAAAAUGGCUAGAAGGAAGUUUAUAAUCUCUGUCUUAGGCACAACUCCAGUAGAGGCGGGGCUCUAUGAAGUAAGGGUUCCUCAUUCAGGAUUGAACUGCUUGGAAAUGGUUUAACAUUGCAUGAAGGGUCAGUGCCAA